rnacentral:tRNA from 1 species
GGGUUGAGAUAGUUUAAUAUAGAAUAAUAAUUUGUGGUAUUUUAGGUGAAAUUUAUUCUCUUGACCCA